rnacentral:rRNA from 1 species
ACGCUCGACACCUACGGGAGGCAGCAGUUAGGAAUAUUCGUCAAUGGGGGAAACCCUGAACGAGCAAUGCCGCGUGAGUGAUGAAGGCCCUAUGGGUUGUAAAACUCUGUUGUUGAGAAAGAAUUGUAAGAUUAGGAAAUGAGUCUUACUUGACGGUACUCUUCAAGAAAGCCACGGCUAACUACGUGCCUGCAGCCGCGGUUAANCUGAGCGGCUGGCAAGGC